rnacentral:rRNA from 1 species
AGAGUUUGAUCAUGGCUCAGGACGAACGCUGGCGGCGUGCUUAACACAUGCAAGUCGAACGAUGAAGCCUUCGGGUGGAUUAGUGGCGAACGGGUGAGUAACACGUGGGCAAUCUGCCCUGCACUCUGGGACAAGCCCUGGAAACGGGGUCUAAUACCGGAUAUGACCUGCCGAGGCAUCUUGGUGGGUGGAAAGCUCCG